GCUACCCGUCCUUAAAAAGAGUAUAUUUUACACUGUUCUUAUUUAAAAAUUUUUAUGAUUAGUAUUUUUAUUGUUGUUAGAUGAUAAAAUAUAAAUAGUAUUUUAUGUGUGACUAAUUAUUUUUAAUUUUUUUAUAAAAUUUUCAAAUAAGACAGACGAUCAAACAUUGGACGCGAAAACUUAGCAAUGCACUUAAA
rfam:Oryza glaberrima chromosome 3 Oglab03_0010_2, whole genome shotgun sequence.